CUUACCUGAAAAGACUCCCAGGAGGAUGCUGAUCACAGCUUUUUCCAUUUUUUCCAACGUCCCGUCAAGUGUAACAGAGAAAAGAGUGAUGUUUCACACUUCUGACCAAGCCCUAAAGGAUGACAUUAGCUAUCUCCACACCAGAUGGUUCACCAGAAAGAACAGGCUGAAAUUCAUAGGACUAUAUACGAG